AACGUAGGGGACAAGCGUUAUCCGGAUUUACUGGGCGUAAAGCGCACGUAGGCGGACUGUUAAGUCGGGGGUGAAAUCCUGGGGCUCAACCUCAGAAUUGCCUCCGAUACUGGCAGUCUCGAGUGCGGGAGAGGUGAGUGGAAUUCCCAGUGUAGAGGUGAAAUUCGUAGAUAUUGGGAAGAACACCAGUGGCGAAGGCGGCUCACUGGCACGUAACUGACGCUGAGGUGCGAAAGCGUGGGGAGCAAACAGG
rnacentral:rRNA from 1 species